UCAAAGGAAUUGACGGGGGCCCGCACAAGCGGCGGAGCAUGCGGAUUAAUUCGAUGCAACGCGAAGAACCUUACCAAGGCUUGACAUGAACCGGACCGGGCUGGAAACAGUCUUUCCCCUUGUGGGCUGGUUUACAGGUGGUGCAUGGUUGUCGUCAGCUCGUGUCGUGAGAUGUUGGGUUAAGUCCCGCAACGAGCGCAACCCUCGUUCUAUGUUGCCAGCACGUGAUGGUGGGGACUCAUAGGAGACUGCCGGGGUCAACUCGGAGGAAGGUGGGGACGACGUCAAAUCAUCAUGCCCCUUAUGUCUUGGGCUUCACGCAUGCUACAAUGGCCGGUACAAAGGGUUGCGAUACUGUGAGGUGGAGCUAAUCCCAAAAAGCCGGUCUCAGUUCGGAUUGGGGUCUGCAACUCGACCCCAUGAAGUCGGAGUCGCUAGUAAUCGCAGAUCAGCAACGCUGCGGUGAAUACGUUCCCGGGCCUUGUAC
rnacentral:rRNA from 1 species